GGGGGCGAAAGGGCUCGACGGGGGUUACGAGGCUUAGGCGGCAUGUCGUGGCUCCAUCACCACGUUAAAAGGUGGAAAAAAACACAAAAGCCAACAACGAACUGGCACUUGCUGCUUAAUUAAAGCGGCACGCUGCUCCGGGAUUGCCUGUGUUUUGGAUGCAGCGAAGGCAGCAGGCUGGUCUCAGGUCUUUCUCCUGAACCUGAGGCGAGAUAAAGGGAGAUGGGAUGAUACAGCAGCCCGUUUGUCGGCGGUUCAUCAUCCGAGAUUAAGUAGGCAGAACAAACAUGUAGAAACCUGAGAGUAGUGCUUUCGGACGCGGGUUCAAUUCCCGCCGCCUCCACCA
rfam:Nitrospirae bacterium CG1_02_44_142 cg1_0.2_scaffold_12476_c, whole genome shotgun sequence.